UACGUAGGGAGCAAGCGUUGUUCGGAUUUACUGGGCGUAAAGGGUGCGUAGGCGGUCCUAUAAGUAUGGUGUGAAAUCUCCCGGCUUAACUGGGAGGGUGCGCUAUAGACUGUGGGACUAGAGUGUGGGAGAGGAAAGUGGAAUUCCUGGUGUAGCGGUGAAAUGCGUAGAUAUCAGGAGGAACACCGGUGGUGUAAACGGCUUUCUGGACCAUAACUGACGCUGAGGCACGAAAGCGUGGGUAGCAAACAGG
rnacentral:rRNA from 1 species